rnacentral:rRNA from 1 species
GACGAACGCUGGCGGCGUGCUUAACACAUGCAAGUCGAACGGAAAGGCCCUGCUUGCAGGGUACUCGAGUGGCGAACGGGUGAGGAACACGUGGGUGAUCUGCCGUGCACUUCGGGAUAAGCUUGGGAAACUGUGUCUAAUACCGAAUAGGAGUCAUCUUUAGUGAGGUGGUUGGAAAGUUUUUUCGGUGUAGGAUGAGCUCGCGGCCUAUCAGCUUGUUGGUGGGGGAAUGGCCUACCAAGGCGGCGACGGGUAGCCGGCCUGAGAGGGUGUACGGCCACAGUGGGACUGAGAUACGGCCCAGACGCCUACGGGAGGGAGCAGUGGGGAAUAUUGCACAAUGGGCGCAAGCCUGAUGCAGCGACGCCGCGUGGGGGAUGAAGGCCUUCGGGUUGUAAACUCCUUUCGCUAGGGACGAAGCUUUUUGUGACGGUACCUAGACAAGAAGCACCGGCUAACUACGUG